GUGCUCACUUUGGCAGUACAUACCUUAAAACUGAAACAAUACAGAGAUUAGCAUGGCCCCUAUGCUAGGCUGACAUGCAAAUUUGUGAAGUGUUCCAUAUUUUU
ensembl:snRNA U6 U6 spliceosomal RNA